rnacentral:tRNA from 1 species
GUUUAAGUAGCUUAAAAUUAAAGCUUUUUAUUGAAGAUAAAAUUAUAAUAUUUAUAUAUUCUUAAACA